rnacentral:miRNA from 1 species
GUCUUACCAGACAAAUUUAGA